CUUCGGACUGAGUGGCGGACGGGUGAGUAACACGUGAGAACCUGCCUUAAGGUCGGGGAUAACAGUUGGAAACGACUGCUAAUACCGGAUGUGCCUACGGGUGAAAGAUUUAUUGCCUAAAGAUGGGCUCGCGUCUGAUUAGCUAGUUGGAGUGGUAAUGGCACACCAAGGCGACGAUCAGUAGCUGGUCUGAGAGGAUGAUCAGCCACACUGGGACUGAGACACGGCCCAGACUCCUACGGGAGGCAGCAGUGGGGAAUUUUCCGCAAUGGGCGAAAGCCUGACGGAGCAAGACCGCGUGAGGGAGGAAGGCUCUUGGGUUGUAAACCUCUUUUGUCAGGGAAGAACACAAUGACGGUACCUGACGAAUCAGCAUCGGCUAACUCCGUGCCAGCAGCCGCGGUAAUACGGAGGAUGCAAGCGUUAUCCGGAAUUAUUGGGCGUAAAGCGUCCGCAGGUGGUUGUACAAGUCUGCUGUCAAAGCGCGGAGCUUAACUCCGUAAAGGCGGUGGAAACUGUGCGACUAGAGUUCGGUAGGGGUCGCGGGAAUUCCCAGUGUAGCGGUGAAAUGCGUAGAUAUUGGGAAGAACACCGGUGGCGAAAGCGCGCGACUGGACCGAGACUGACACUCAUGGACGAAAGCUAGGGGAGCGAAAGGGAUUAGAUACCCCUGUAGUCCUAGCCGUAAACGAUGGGUACUAGGUGU
rnacentral:rRNA from 1 species